UACAGUGUUCUCCGGAUUGUAAUAAUUUGUUUUAAAACAAAUUAUUACAAUCCGGAGAACACUGUA